AAGGAAUAAGUUACUUUCAGUAGCAAUGCUCUUUAGCUGGAAGCUAUGAACACAGGUGGUUCAUGCUUGGUGCUGUGGGAGGAGUGUAAUCAGAUUCUCUUUCUGGUCAAAUCAGGCAUUGGUCUUCUAAUCACAGAAAGCUUCCUCACAAUUUCAGCAAUGCUUUUGACUUGGUGAAGGACCCUCAAGUGUUGACUCCCUGACUCCAGGGCUGACCCUUCUCCUGCAAUGUGCACUGGUGAUGAAGAAUUUAUGUACCUGGAAAAUAUUCAGAAAUGUGAAUCAAGACUGAUCUGGGGUAUCAAAGAGCAUCUAUAGGAGGCACAGCUCCAUGGACUGUGAUUCCUCAGUGUGGGAAGAUGUGACUGUGGGACAAAAUGUGAGCAGUCUCUGGAAUCAUGAAUAGCAUGAAGUCACCCAGAGGAAAGAGUUAAUGAAGGCAAAGCUUGUCUGGCCGAGAGGCUGGUACGGCUCCAGUAGAGCUGUGACUCACAGAUGGAACAUCCUGCCAAAGCACCAAACAGGCUCCUCAUCCUCAGCUCCUCCUGUCCCAACAGCAGUAGCAUGAAUUGGUUCAGCUGGUCCACGUCUGGAAAGGUUUGUCCCUUACAGCAUCUGCUCUUCCCACUCAGUUCAAUGCUGUUUGUUGGCACAAGAAAAUGUUGUCUGACAGGUACGACCUUACCCAUCCAUCUGCUAUGGGAUUUCAGUGGUGCAGACCCCUCAUAAGUGCUCUUUAUGGGACUGAAGGAAGUUCAGGUUAAUAGAACUAUUUAAAUUAUUAAGGAAAUUGCCAAAGGGAGGGCAGAAACCCAAAGAUUGCUGGGAAGCAACACACAAGGAGAAGUUACUGGGUGAGUUGGUCAAAGACGAGCCUCGGAACUGACCAGGUUUGAUAUUUUCAUCAUUGAGCUUGGCUCAAAAAGAGAUGAAGAAAUUAAAAUUUUUGGUGGCAUCAUCAUUACAAAGCAGCACAUGCUUAGUGAGAUGCUGUCCCAGGCAUAAUCCUCUACACCAGUUGCUCACCACUUCCCUUUCUCUCCAGAGAAAGGGAUCAGCAGCAUCACCUCUCUGCAGCUGAGUUCCGGGUCCCUGUUCCCAGUGGGAGAAGAGCCAGGCACGUGGGGUACUCAGUGUGCUGGAGCACAGGCAGGGAGAAGCAGAGUAGUCUGAAAGCUGGUGCCUGAUUUCUGUUCUCCAGAAGCACAUAAUCACCUGAGAAGUGAAUUUCAUUAAAAUGGAUUUUUUCCUGCCUUCUGAACUCGCCCUGUGCCUCAGUUAACACAAAAGGACUGUUGACAUGUCACCAAAAGUGUAAGAAUUAUGACACAGUGACAGUGCAGGCAGAAGAUAGGAAGGACUCUUGGUUUUGAUAUUGAGCUGAAUUAUGCCACUUUGAAUCCAUACUAGCAAAGCAUAAAUAUAUGGAUUAGCACUAGUAUAGCAGAUCAAAGCCUGAGGUGGAGAGUUUAAACAAAGUAUAAUUUGUAGUAACAACAAAAUUACAGGAAUUCAUCCCUUCAUCUCCCAACCCUUGCACCUCAGCCUUGCCACAAAGAAAAUUUCUCCCUAUUCUUCUAUAUCUGUACAUUUCUCAAAACAUCCCAGUUUGGGAAGCCAACCUGGGAAGCAUGGCUUGUCAAUAUGGAAAGACCAGCUCUGUAACUGUGCAUCAUUAGAGUAAUCAGUGUGCAGUGGGGUGAAUAAAGGAACACACAUGUCCUACACCAAAUAUGAUUGGAAAAUGUAAAAAUGUAAAAAUGAACCAUUCUUUGUACAAUUCCCCUUUCUCAGCAGAAAUCUGCUCUCUGCAGAUUGCUCUGCUGGCUGCAGUCACUGCUCCCCAGCAGAGACUGGGAGGGACAAGCACAGGAGAGCUCCUGAGUCUGACCAGCUGUGGGUGUGGUGAUUCCUGAGAUCCCAUUACUGCACUCCAGUAAAAUAACGGCUGUUUCCUUCUCCACGUUCGAAUUGAUAUUACAUUGACAAGAUCAAGUGACACCACAGCCACAGAAACCUUUAUCUGCCAAAUGCAUAAUAUUUCUUGCUGAACCCCAGCCAAACUCACCCCCAGGUCUUAUCAGUUCUAAACUGAGUAUUUAUUCAUGUGGUUGUUUUAUGAAAAAUGUAAAGAUCCUCAUUAAAUGGAAACCUUAACCCAAAAGUUUCAUCAUUAAGGUGGAACUGAGCUGGGAGCACACAGAAUGAAAUUCCUGAUCUUCUGUGUUAUUUUGGGAAGAAAUGCUCAAUGCCUCGGGCAGCUGCACAGUCCAGGGCUGAGCCCUCCUGUUAUCCCUGACCUCACUCGGGGAAUGAGUCUGGGUUUAAGGUGAAGAGUUUUUCUGCAGAGAGAGAAGAGAGUUCCCUGGGCUGAGGAGUCCAAAGCUUUUUGGAGGGAGGCGGGCAGGGAUUGCCUCAGCCACCCCUGGCAGAGGGAGAAGGGGACACCGGACCCUGCCCGACCCCGGCAAUCCAGAGAAAUCCCAUUUCUGCGCAGCGCCUGCAGCGCCCCCGCAGCUGGACGGCAACACGGAACCUUUGGGAUAGCACGAGCUUUGUGCACACGAAUCUCCACAGAACUUCAAUGCUGCCAUUCACUGAGGGUAAACUCCAUUUCUGUGCUUUUGUGUUCUCAUUUAUAUUAGAAAUGCUAAUCAAAAAGUUUGAAGCAAAAGACACAUACAGAGAAUUCAGAAUGUACAGGCAGCAAAGGCAUUUCUCUGAGGCUGGAAAUGAAUUCUUCAGUAUUUUCCCUUUCUUACUUUGAAUCCAAUAUAUUUUACCCAACCACUAGAAUUGUAAAACUGGGGCUUCAUGAGACAAGACCUGUAGCAUUUUCAUGGAAUCAUAGAAUCAUAGAAUCAAACAGUUUGGAAAAGACCUCUGAGAUCAUCAAGUCCAACCCUUUUGUUCCUAAACAAGGGGUAGCUGCAAAGACAGGGUAAAAUUAAAGAAGGUAAGAAAUCAGUAUCCAAAAUUUGCACUUCAGGAUAAUCAGCUUUUCAGAGAUAGCUUGUUUUCCACAGUGAAGAACAGCUUUUUUUUAAUUCAAACCCUUCAGCAACAUUAACAUGCUUGUUGCAGAUCCAUACCAUGUCGUACUUCGACAGCAAAAUGCCGCAUCCAUCACAUGAGAAUAUCAGCAACUGUCCAGUCAUCUUGAGUAUGAAUAAAAUGCACAAUCCACCAGUUCUGUGUCAGUUCAGCUGCUUUCUAAAGCUGCUAUGCACACCUCAAAACAUGAGUACAGACUGCUUGUUUCAUUAUGGUACUUACUGGACAUACAGGAUGAACCAAUAUUGCACUUGUGAAAAAAGGCCAGGAGAGCCGGGAGGGACACGAUGCAGAGAGACCCCGCGGCACCACGCACGUGCUCAGAAUCAUGUGGAGCCACUUGCAGAGAUGGGCAUGUGCAUGUGUUCAUGCCUGUGCACAUGCACAAACCCUGCUGGAGGUGGAGGAGGGUGAGGGGAGCUGGUGGGUUAUCCCUGCUUCCUCCUGCGUGUGUUAAUCCUGAAGGCUGUAGUGCGUGUUGGUGGAUGUGUGUGUACAUUUUACUUCCCUUUGUUUUGUUUGGUACUGUUAAUCCCCUGGGGCGUAUCUCUGAGCUGAAGAACUUUAGAGCUGAUAUAGCUUUUUAAAGUGGGGAUUAUGUAAAUGCAUAUUAUGGGGCUUUCAUAAAUAGGGAUUAUUUGUCAAAUACAUUUGAGGGCUUCCUUUGGAGCCAUUAAGGUCUGUUGUGUAAACAGGAAUUUAGUAACUGCCUAAUCUAAAUUUCAUUGAUUCAAUAAACGAUCA